ensembl:lncRNA
UUUUUAAUGGUUAUACACAGUUUGAGCAGCAAGAUGUGUUCAGUUUUACUUUUUUUGCAGUAAGUAACGAAUAUGCUACGUGGAAAUGUAUCGGAGUAAAAAUAUACAUUUUUAUUAGGAAAUGUAGUGGAGUAAAAGUUAAAGUUGACAGAAAUAUUAAAACUCAAGUGAAGAUUGAGUUCAGAUUUUCCCAAAAAAAUACUGAAGUACUGUAACGAAGUAUUAUUAAUUACAUUGCACCACUGAAUAUAGGAAGAGCAAGAAUAGUGUGGAAACCAUUGAUAGCUCAAAUUAUGUAAAAGUAAAGUAAGUAAUAAAUCUAAAAAUGACAACACAAGCUUAUUUAAAACGUUGUGCUCUAGCAUAUAUUGAAUGAUAUCCUGAGGAUUAUGGAGGAUUAUUUAUUAGGCAGUAUUAAUAACUCCUUCCUUUACCAUUUCUCCUUUUAUAGUUCUCAGGUGUAAACAACAUGUGCUAGAUCUUUUUCCGUCUCAGUGGAGCAGUAAAGGACACGCUCAGUCACUGCUGCCUGCACCACUUUUGUAACUCUGCUUAUACAACAUGACUCAGACGGCCGUCAGGUGGUAGAGCACAGAGGUCAUGACAGAACACGCUGAGGGGGUGGAAAGCAAACAUACUUUCAAAGCACCAAUGAUGUUAUAGUGCACUCUUAUAGGCACACCAACAGAACACAUUUUGGAUGCCCCCCUCAUCUGAGCCAUCCAUUUCAGGUCUUGGAAUCUCUGCUAAUGAGCUGAUGAGUUGAUUCAGUGCACACACACAGCAGUGAACACACACCCGGAGCAGUGGGCAGCCAUUUAUGCUGCAGCGUCCGGGGAGCAGUUGGGGGUUCGGUGCUUUGCUCAAGGGCACCUCAGUGUUGGUAUUGCUGGCCCAAGACUUAAACCCACAACCUUAGGGUUAGGUGUCAAACUCUCUAACCACUAGGCCACAACUUCCCCACACAGCAAAUGUGACAGCAUGGUGAGUCAGCUCCCCUGAAGAGCGCUGGACUUUCCUAGCAUUGCUGUGAUACCCGAGUGCUUUGCAGAAACAGGCAGCACUUCCCAUCAAGCAGCGAUCAGUCAUUUACCCUCACCUGCAGCUCACUGUUCACACACAGGGGCAAAUUUUCUCUGUCCCUGCCUCGCUGUGCCUCACGCCUCUUUCUCAAUUCACCUCGUGCCACGCUGAGCAGUCCGAACAGUGGACGGAGAGGUGCGUGUGUUAUCAGCCCACUGAGAGAUAAUGCCACACAGGGUCUCAUUGUCUUUCACGUGCACUUGUGAGCGGGGAGAUGUGGAAAGAAGGCUGACCUGCACAUUUAGAGCUAAAUAUUCAGGAAUGACACCAUCCAAGGGUUCAUGAUGACAGAAAAGAUGAUGAGUCUCCCAUAAUGAACAGGUUACAUGAGGUUACAUAAAUAGAACAGGUUACAGGUUUGGAUAGGGACAUUUCACCCUAAAUGGAAUGUUUUGUCAUCAUUUACUAACUUUUUUUUUUCUUUUUUCUUUUUUUUUUAGGAUUUUUUUCUUCUGUGGAGCACAUUUGUAGAUGAUUAGUUUUAUGUCUUUUAUUUGUAUGUAAGGUGUCCUUGAGUGUCAUGUAAUAAUACAAUUUGUUAUUAUUAUUAUUAUUAUUAUUAUUAUUAUUAUUAUUAUUAUUAGCAGA